AAACUUCACACUGGAGGCAACUCCGAUGAGGGAAUUCCUAGUGCUAGCACAUUAGUGUUAGCUUUUCUUAAGCGUAGAUAACUUAAGGAAUAAGGGCUGGGUAAGACGGGUGCCAGCCGCCGCGGUAAUACCCGCAGCCCAAGUGGUGGUCGAUUUUAUUGAGUCUAAAACGUUCGUAGCCGGUUUGGUAAAUCCUUGGGUAAAUCGGGAGGCUCAACUUUCCGAAUUCCGAGGAGACUGCCAAACUUGGGACCGGGAGAGGCGAGAGGUACUUCUGGGGUAGGGGUAAAAUCCUGUAAUCCUAGAAGGACCACCGGUGGCGAAGGCGUCUCGCUAGAACGGAUCCGACGGUGAGGGACGAAGCCCUGGGUCGCAAACGGGAUUAGAUACCCCGGUAGUCCAGGGUGUAAACGCUGCAGACUUGGUGUUGGGGACCCUACGUGGGUGUUCAGUGCCGGAGAGAAGUUGUUAAGUCUGCUACUUGGGGAGUACGUCCGCAAGGAUGAAACUUAAGGAAUU
rnacentral:rRNA from 1 species